rnacentral:rRNA from 1 species
UACGUAGGGGGCAAGCGUUGUCCGGAAUCAUUGGGCGUAAAGCGCGUGUAGGCGGCAUGAUAAGUCUGGUGUGAAAACUUGAGGCUCAACCUCAAGGUUGUCGCUGGAAACUAUCAAGCUCGAGUCCGGAAGAGGAGAGUGGAAUUCCUGGUGUAGCGGUGGAAUGCGCAGAUAUCAGGAGGAACACCAAUGGCGAAGGCAGCUCUCUGGUACGUGACUGACGCUGAGACGCGAAAGCGUGGGGAGCGAACAGG